rnacentral:rRNA from 1 species
AUUGAACGCUGGCGGCAGGCCUAACACAUGCAAGUCGAACGGUAACAGGAAACAGCUUGCUGUUUCGCUGACGAGUGGCGGACGGGUGUGUAAUGUCUGGGAAACUGCCUGAUGGAGGGGGAUAACUACUGGAAACGGUAGCUAAUACCGCAUAACGUCGCAAGACCAAAGAGGGGGACCCUCGGGCCUCUUGCCAUCGGAUGUGCCCAGAUGGGAUUAGCUUGUUGGUGGGGUAACGGCUCACCAAGGCGACGAUCCCUAGCUGGUCUGAGAGGAUGACCAGCCACACUGGAACUGAGACACGGUCCAGACUCCUGCGGGAGGCAGCAGUGGGGAAUAUUGCACAAUGGGCGCAAGCCUGAUGCAGCCAUGCCGCGUGUAUGAAGAAGGCCUUCGGGUUGUAAAGUACUUUCAGCGGGGAGGAAGGGAGUAAAGUUAAUACCUUUGCUCAUUGACGUUACCCGCAGAAGAAGCACCGGCUAACUCCGUG